GGGCACCCGAUUCGAACGUUAUCACUCGAUUGAAUGGGGCGUUAUCAGCGGUUAUCAGCCCAUAGAAAUGGGCCAGGAGGGGCCUCCUGUGCCUACUAGUAGGCUCAGAAGGCCGUGAUCAUCCAUCCAAAUGGUUGAUCACCCACAAAUAUACAAGAGAAGACUCCAGAUCCAAUCCCAGAAUUCCUGCUCACCUGUAAUCGGAAGUCUACUGGACGAAAGCGGCAACGUUGCGAUAUUUCCUGCUUAAUAUUUUCAGAUAUGGGAAAAGCACUUAAGAUGACCCCACGUUUCAGGAACGUUAAAAUUAAGUUGGUGAGGAGGUCUAUCGCGGGCCCUGCGAAGUUUUCUUACCUCAGUCAAGGUCUUCCCCAGCCCAGCUACAAACAGACCCACUCUUCCGACCCUUCUAUUACAUCUCAACCUGCUGAACCUGAUGAUGCGACACAAGCUGUUCUGAGAGUGCAUACAGUAAGGCAAAGAAGAGAGAGCUUCAUGUCUGGGAUGCAGUCAAGGAUGAGAUGCUUAAGGUGACGUUUGAAUGUUCAGCAUCAGUCACUACCCAGUGUGCUGUCUGCCGAGAACAUGCUGAUUAUAGGUGCAUUGAGUGCAGCUCCACUGCAGUGUUUUGUGAGGUUUGCCUGAAGAGGAUUCACAGAAAUUCACUGCAUCUUCCUGAAAAGUGGAAUAGUGUUUACUAUGAGCCAUCCUCCCUGGGGUUAUUCUUAUAUUUACCUGAAGCCCAUGGCACCCAUGCUGUGUACACAAAGGACAUGAAGAUCAUUGUCAGCACAGGACGGCUCUGCACCGUUACAGUCACCAUUUGUGCGUGUGAACCAGAAACCUGUACUCUGCUGAGGUAUGGGCUCUGACCAGACAGCCUUCUCCAUCCCUCUGCUAGAGCUUUCUGUUUCUCUGUCACUGGAGUGUCAGGUUUCUAUUGAGGGUUUUUGCAACACCCCAUAUCCCAUUUUAGGCAUCACCACUUCCGACAAAGAGGUUUGGUUGAUAUUUGCCCACAAUUAAAUGAUGGAACAAUAUGCCCAGCAUGUCCAAAGGUUGGUUAUAAUUCCAGCGUGGUUCUUGUUUGAUUAAACUAAUGGCAUAGAAUUAAAAUCUGAAUUAAUAUCAAACUAAGUUAAUUUGUUUAUGUAGUAUUAUAAUAGAAGUAAUAGUAUAAAUGUAUAAACCUGGUGCGGGUACAAAACCAGUGUUACUGUAAGUGUUUGUUUUCCAGGCGGAUGGAGAUAUGAUUGUCACAUUGGAUGCAAACUUUGGCCUUGUGAGGAAGCAAAGCUCUGGGACAAGUGCGGUUGAUCCAUUACACGGAACCCGCGUGUUUAGAGGAAUACCUGCUAUCACAUCUUGACAGCUCAAAGCCUCAAGAGGACUGCAGUAAGCUGCUCUCAUUCAAGGUCUCCAACAGCUGGAAAGAAAAUGACAUCAAGCCACUGUGAUGUUUCACCCACAUAUAAUAUAAUAUAAUAUAAUAGAAUAGAAUAGAAUAGAAUAGAAUAGAAUAGAAUAGAAUUAUAAUAUAUAUAUAUAUAUAUAAUUUAAUUACUUUACUGCGUUACUUGUGCGGACAUGUUGUUUUACUAGGUCUGAUCUAUUUUAAAGCUUAGGCACUGUAUUUAAGCAUACAUAUCCCCACUAGUCUGUCUGUAUGAGUACAAAAUGAAAAAAUAAACUGUCUAUAAUUGUUACUGUACAAGCACAGUAAAAUAUUUAUAUAAAAAAUAUUGCACUACUGUUAUUUUGCAUAGAAUACAUUGUUCAACAGUAUUUUUGCACACUCAUCCAACUGUAUUUAUUACCACUGUUCUCACGUUCCUGCUGUUCAUAAUAUAUAUAUAUAUAUAUAUAA